CACGUACUGUGCGAACGUUAUUCGGAAUCACUGGGCUUAAAGGGUACGUAGGCGGUUAAUCAAGUCAGGUGUGAAAUGCCUGAGCUCAACUGAGGCACUGCGCUUGAAACUGAUUAGCUAGAGUAUUCCAGGGGUGUGCGGAACUUAUGGUGGAGCGGUGAAAUGCGUUGAUAUCAUAGGAACACCGGUGGCGAAAGCGGCUACUGGAGGAUUUCUGACGCUGAGG
rnacentral:rRNA from 1 species